rnacentral:rRNA from 1 species
AUUGAACGCUGGCGGCAUGCCUUACACAUGCAAGUCGAACGGCAGCACGGGAGCAAUCCUGGUGGCGAGUGGCGAACGGGUGAGUAAUAUAUCGGGACGUGCCCAGUCGUGGGGGAUAACGUAGCGAAGGCUACGCUAAUACCGCAUACGAUCUAUGGAUGAAAGCGGGGGAUCGCAAGACCUCGCGCGAUUGGAGCGGCCGAUAUCAGAUUAGGUAGUUGGUGGGGUAAAAGCCUACCAAGCCUUCGAUCUGUAGCUGGUCUGAGAGGACGACCAGCCACACUGGAACUGAGACACGGUCCAGACUCCUACGGGAGGCAGCAGUGGGGAAUUUUGGACAAUGGGCGCAAGCCUGAUCCAGCAAUGCCGCGUGCAGGAUGAAGGCC